rnacentral:lncRNA from 1 species
GUCUCUUUAACAAACAGCACAGCUCCUAUCAAGCGAUCUUCUCCUACAGCAACUCUCAAAUGGUUCCAGAAACUGCCUCUUCCCCUUGCCCUGUUAGUUCUAAGAGUAGAGAGACAGCUCACCUUUGUUGCUAACCCAGGGAUAUUGCAUCACUCCUUGUAGCUUUCCCCUAACGCAGCCCACACCUUGUAAAGAGUCAUUUUUAAAUUCUCCUUAAUUACAAGAUUGAGUGUGCCUUCUCUUUCCUGUUGGGACCCUAACUUAUACAAGUGGGGACAGGAAUACAAUUAGUUUUCACCCCUAGACCCACAAAAGUAAGUCCUAAUCAUUGUUAGCAGAUUAGUAGUAAAUGCUCUUGAGUCAUAUAUAAAAAUAAAAACUUUAUUAUGGGCUCGUUGUUCUCCCAUAAGGAGAAAAUAAAGGAUUUCAUUUUUAAUCAGUCUGAGGCUCAUUAGGAGAGCCCCCAGGGCUCCACAAGACAACCGUGGGAUGGGUGAAAUGCCAGUCUUCUCAGGGGAAAGAUAUGGAGCUCACAUUUCCUGCCGUCUGCCAGGGAAGACUUUGGAAGUAAAGAGCCCGCUGUUCUUAUCUACAGAUCCUGGACUUGAGCUGCAACCCCCACCUGGAUUUCCAGCCUCCAGCCAGCCCUGCUCACUUCAGACUGGCCAGCCCCCACAAUCCAAACUGAACAGCAUAAAGUGAAAAUGGUGCACGGUGAUUAAAGAUCUCCACGGCGACAGUUCCCUGGAGUGAAAUACGAGGUCCUACUUUGGCAACACUGUCCACCAGGAAGGAUCUUCAUGGACACGCUGUGUCACUUGCUUCACUGCCCGUCUGAGCCAGGAUUGGACUGGCACAUUGCCUUGUUGAAAUUGGCUCCACAUCUUGUUUAAGUGGGCAUCCCGCCAUACUAAUUGAUGGGUAUGAGUGUAGACAUGCUAGAGAACCAGUAUGCACAUCAGAUCUGGGUAGGAGAAGGACUUCAGCCCAGAAAUAUCAAAACAGUCAGUUGUGUUGAGUUUCCAUGCCAAGGAGAGGGAAAAGAUGGUAUCAAUGUCACCGCUGCAGCUCAGAGUUGGAUUUAUUUUUAAAUGCCCCAAAUAGCUGAAAAAACAAGGAAGGAAUGGGCCUGAGGAGGAGCAGGGAGGGGCAAGGUUAUUGACUUUCAAAAGAUAUAGCUAAUAUCUGCCAACUGGAGGGCAAGGUUUUUUAUCCAAGCAGUUCCUUGAUUGGAGUAACUUUCUAGCUGAGUACUUUGGGCAGAUAUAGAAAUUAGAGCCACUAUGUGGGGAGCUCCCCAGGUUAAUCACAGUGGAGACUGCUGAAGAUGGGUGCAGACAACCGCUACCUACCUGGGGAAUGACUCUUCCUGCUUGUCCUUGAUGCCCCAGCCACCCUAUGGAAUCAACUAACUUUGCAACAAGUAUUUC